GCUUCUGACCGGCGACAUGAGGAGGAAACGAUCUCAGUUACAAGGAGAUGCAAAUGCCUACUUACAUUAUUUAACAUUACAUCACAUAGGGAAUUGGGGCGCGAUAUCUAUCUGCUGACCAGCAACACGCACCAUUCACCGCUAAGAAAUGAGAAUACGUUUGCUUUUCAGAAUGGAUGAAUGUUUGUGGAGCGCAAAAGGAUCAACAAUGUAUUUUUUUAUUUUUCCUUCAUAUUUUCCCGACGUUGGUUUUUCGAUACGUUUCCGAGGGUAUAUUCAAAAAGUUAAAGGAACACUCCACCCACUUGCCUUAAGCUUUGCAUUGUUAGAAACCCAGUCAUACUUUUGAAUGCUCAUGCAACACUAUCUAAUUUUCCCCUGAGACGGGAGAAAUCCGUAUUUACCUCUUACACUUCUUUCUGGCAAUGACGCAAAAAUCGUAAUUUUACGUCAUUGCCAGAAGGAAAUACAAGAGGGGGGAUUUCUAUUGAGACUACAAGCACUAGUCACACCCUUUCAAAUCCGCCCAUAGGGGGUGAGACCUAAUGCACUAACAGACCUAUCACAGAUCUAUGCCAGUGCGUUAGACUUCACCUGCAGAAAACAUGGCCGAAGGUACUGAAUACGCAGACGGACACAAUAUGGAGGAUUGGGAUUUUGAAGAAGUUAUGGUAGAAACUGACGUUUGUGGCUACCUUUAUGAGCCACAAUAUAGCGACGAGCAGCUGAGGGCUAUGGAGGAACAGGAGGCGGCUGAAGCUGCCGUCGCUACAGCCGAGGCAGACGACCUGCCUGCCGCAGACGAAGAGCCCACAAUGGCUCGAGCUGGGGCGGAUUGGUGGUGCCUGUGCUAUCACUGUGCGCCAAUGGACACAGAACAAGAGUCUGUCCGCUGCCGAGAAUUCCAGCGUUGCCAAUUUCUUCAGGACGAAAUCACGGAAUCGGAGGAUGACACGGACGUGUGUUGUCGAUCACCCGAGUUUCGCACCCCAGGCUUUACGCCUCAUCUGAACAGUUGGGUAUUGGAUAAACAUUUCCGGACCCAGAUAGUGUACUGGAAACGCCAGCCAAAGCUCGCUGUGAGAAACAGACGUCUGAGCAUAGAACAGUAUCGGCUUCCUGUGUUGUCCAGGCCAUCAGAGCUAAUUACCCAGCACAAGAUGGGCAGUACCGUGGCUUCCAGGAGACAGUAGAUGCUGAAGAUGAGCUGUGACUAUUUUGACUCUAGCAAACGCACACUACACGUUUUAUUUUUGUAAAUAGUUCAUAUUUUUUCACGAAUAAAACUUUAAAUUCAUGUUGGUUGUUGUGAUCUGUUUACCAAACCAAGUGCUGUUAUACUAAAGUAGGCCUACUGUAUAAGACAAACACUUAUUUCAACUGGGGAGAAAAGGUUGAGUACAAAUACUUGAUAUGCUGAGCUACUGUAAUUAGCAGAUGUUUUUAUGCUGUACAGUAAUAUUUAAAU